CGCGUAGGCGGACUUUUAAGUUGGGGGUGAAAUCCCGGGGCUCAACCCCGGAACUGCCUUCAAAACUGGAAGUCUUGAGGUAUGGAGAGGGAAGUGGAAUUCCUGGUGUAGCGGUGAAAUGCGUAGAUAUCAGGAGGAACACCCGUGGCGAAGGCGGCUUCCUGGCCACAUCCUGACGCUGAGGUGCGAAAGCUAGGGGAGCGAACGGGAUUAGAUACCCCGGUAGUCCUAGCCGUAAACGAUGGAUACUAGGUGUUAGAGGUAUCGACCCCUCUAGUGCCGCAGCUAACGCAUUAAGUAUCCCGCCUGGGGAGUACGGCCGCAAGGCUGAA
rnacentral:rRNA from 1 species